CUAAAAAUCUGAAAGCAUAAAGAUUAACUGACAUAAGUUAUGUUCUUGCGAAAAUAAAAGUUAUUCCACAAACGCAUUCGAUAAAACAUUCAAAACCUUCUUCAGAGUCAAAUCCGUGAACUGAUGAUCGAUAUAGCUUCUCACUAUAUAUCCUCUCUUCACUUCUUAGACUUCUUCUUCGGUUCACUGCACAAGCAAAGACCCAUACAUGAUUUAGGUAUCUUAACCAUUUUGACACAAAACUCAAUAUACAACACAAUUGAGAU
rnacentral:lncRNA from 1 species